AGAUAGAAAUAAACAGUAUUAUUCCUGGAAAGAAGGGGUAGUAGCUGUCCCUCUGCCAAAGUGCACUCCAGUCCAGAGCCUAUUAGCGGCGGAUUCCUUCCUGCGCUCCACCUCCCAGUGCCAGGGCAACGGUCCCAGGUUUUGACGUCAAAGCUGCCUUUUGUUUGUUGCACAGACCUUCCCCUUGCAGGCCGAGCAGACUGCAGCGCGGAAGCAGUGAGGCAGAGGGCUCUGCUGUGCCCAGAGCUGCUCUCACCACAAGCCUCCACGGAUGGCCCUCUUCCCGCAGUACCAAUUCCAGCCCUUCCAGUGGAAAGAAAAUAGAGUUCAAUAGCAAGAUCUGCCAAGCGAGGACUCUUUCCACACACAUGAGACAAGACUGUAAAUCUGCUUUGGAACCAACAGGUAUAUUUGGAGAAAAUCCUCAGAGAGACAGUGAGAAAAUCUCCCAGCACUCCAGGACAG
rnacentral:lncRNA from 1 species